ACACGCAUGACACACUGCAUAUCAAUAAGCGGAGGGAAAAGAAACUAACAAGGAUUCCCUUAGUAACGGCGAGUGAAGCGGGAAGAGCUCAAAUUUGAAAUCUUCAAGGUUUUACCUUGACGAAUUGUAGUUUAAAGAAGUGUUUUCUGUUGGAGUUUUGGUAAAAGUUCUUUGGAAUAGGACAUCAUAGAGGGUGAGAAUCCCGUAUUUGACCAUUAUUUCCAGCUGUGUGAUACACUUUCAAAGAGUCGGAUUGUUUGGGAAUGCAGUCCAAAAUGGGUGGUAAAUUUCAUCUAAAGCUAAAUAUUGGCGAGAGACCGAUAGCGAACAAGUACCGUGAGGGAAAGAUGAAAAGAACUUUGAAAAGAGAGUAAAACAGUACGUGAAAUUGUCAAAAGGGAAGCGUUUGACACCAGUGUUGUUUAGUUGAAAAUCAAUUCAAUAAUUUUUGAUUUUGAGUAGUAUUGACUUCAUCAGCUUGCUGCUUUCUUUUCAGGAAAUUAUUGAAUGCACUUUUCAGUUAACAAGUCAACAUCAAUUUCUUUUGUUGUAAAAGGGUAAGAGGAAGGUGGCUUACGCUUCGGCGUAAGUGUUUAUAGCCUUUUACCUCUGCAAUCGGAGAGAUUGAGGACAGCAGCGUAGACUCUUCGGGGUUAGAUACACUUGUGCUAAGCUAUAGCCUUGUAUAGACAACUUGUUGACUAUGCUCAGUCAUGUAGCUUACUCGCUUGUGCUAUUUUACCUACGCUUAGGAUGUUGAUCUACAGAGCGAGAGU
rnacentral:rRNA from 1 species